GUGAUACUGAAGCACAUGGCUGCAGCAGACAGUUGUUCCAGAAGUAAUGUCCAGAAGAAAUCUAGAAAAUGCUCCAAGGUGUGCACAACUGGAAAACUUAAGUAGUAUUUUUCUUUGUUUUUAGAAGAUGCCACAUAAAAAAGUAUCCUAUAUGAUAUCAGGAACAUCUGCAAAAAGCCAGGGAGAGAUACUGGAAGAAAAAAAAGAAGAGAGAAAUGAAAUCUAUCUUUGAGAUUAUAAAGCGAGAAUAAACAGAUGGCAAUGGAAAUGCAACCAACGGAAUAGAAGACAACCAUUAAAGAGAACAGAUGCAAUGGAGACCUACCUGGAUGAGAUCUUUAAGGUCAGGGCCCUCCGCAAGGCUCACAAAAUCAUUUUAGACCCAAGCCACCCCCUGUACCCGGACUUUGAACUACUCCCCUCUGGGCGCAGGUAUAGGGCACCCCUCAGCAGGAAAAACAGAACUAGACAAUAAUUUGUGCCAGGUGUGAUAUCCCUCCUAAAUAGCUCAGGCUAAUGUUCCUAUCAACUCAGUAAGGCCAGCAGGCUAAGUCUUUUUUACAUUUUUCAUUGGUAUGAACUGUUAUGAAAGUUGUAUUGUCAAUUUUGUUUUGUAUUUAAACGCCACUUUAAACGUGUACAUGACACUGCAACAACAUUUCCCCAUGGGGACAAUAAAGUAAGUAAGUACCUAUCAGGCAACACAACACCUUAGUCACCAGAUGACUUGCAUCCAGAACAUGAGGCCAUCAUACCUGCUCCUAACUUAUCUGCCCCUGAUCCUCAUCAUCUGCAACAGGAAUAAGAAGUAAAAUACUUGCUAGAAGGAAAAAGGUUGGAAGAGCUUGCUCAAAAACAUAGAGAUCUUUGCAUGAAAAAUGUCAAACUUGAUAAAGCUUAAUGGAAAAUUGAGAAAUACAAAAAGGUAUGAUCAACUGAUGAAGAAAACAAAGACAAGAUUCCCCAAGGACAAAGACAAACAGCAAAUAAAGGGAACUCCGAAGAACCUGAGAAGGAUGUUGUUAUUUCAAAAUGCCAUCAUUGCAGAGAAAGCAAAAGUAUCAAAAAUUGCACAGUGCCAAGGACAAACAAGUGACUUCAAAAAUACUCAGAGGCAACAUCCUGAGAAAGUAUGGCCUGGUCAAAGCCAAAAACAGAGAAUUGGGAUUUUCAGCAAAAGCAAUGAGGGCAAUUGAAAACAGUCUUCAAUACUCCAGGAAAAAGCAGUGUAAUAUAAUUAGCACAGCCACAGAAGAGAAAAUCACUAGAUUCAAUGAACGUAACGUCAACUGUAGAGCAACAACAGGGAAAAAAGACACUAACGAGGAAAAAAUAAAGCAGAAGCGCUUCUUGAAUGCACAAUUCAGAGCGUUUAUCAGAAUUUUAAGAGGGAAUAUUCAGAGAUUAAAAUGUCCUACUAUGAAUUCUGCAAAAUACCAUUUUGGGUUGUCAAGCCAACAGUCCAGAAUAGGAACACAUGCCUCUGCAAAACCCACGCCAACCUCCAGUUCAUGGCAAACAAACUACAGUAUCACCAAGUGAUCGGGCUGCAGCAACAAUGAGAACCUUAUUGAGUCUUUGUGCUGUGAGAACCUGAAGAAAGAGUGAAUGUACACAGAAUGCUCCCUUUGAUGCUGUUGAGCAGACAUAGUGGUUUGAGUGGAAAAACAAAGCUGAAGAGAGAGAAGGAAAAACAAAGAAGGAAACAUGUUCACUUGACAGUAAAAGAAAAGGUGUGUGGCAUACCGCAUAUUCUACUGGAGGACUUCUCCAAAGGAUUGAAAGAUAAGUUGGGGAAACGUGUACAACAUUCGACACCAAUACUCCAAACUGAGAGGAUUAAAAGAGAAUCUGUGGAAAGUGGAGAUCAUCGUGCAUAUUGACUUUGCAGAGAACUCACUGGGGAUACUGUCACGGCAGUAUAAAGGAUCGGACCAAAGUGCAGCGUUUGUUUCGUUCCACGUAUUUAUUUAAUCCGUGAAAACUAUGCAAUAUAUCAAAUAACUGACAUCUACAAAAUAACAAACCGUGACGCAGAGGAGAAACAAACACUACUCACAAAUAAUCACCUACAAAAACAGGUGGGACAAACAUCAACUUAAAUAUGACCUCCAAUUAGAGACAACGACGACCAGCUGCCUCUAAUUGGAGAUCAUACCAAACAAAACCAACAUAGAAAUACAAAACUAGAAACUGAACAUAGAAAUACAAAACAGACAAACACCCCCUGUCACGCCCUGACCUACUCUACCAUAGAAAAUAACCACUUACUAUGGUCAGGACGUGACAGACACUCUGAAAUUUCACUAGGGACAUUUUUGCCCCCCCCCCCCCAGUUUUAUCAUUGGAAUGUGAUACAAAAUGAGACAACGGUGCGCUUUAGGACCAUGCAGACACCUCCGAGCGGUCAGGUAGACUGUUUGUAGUGUAUAUCUGACUGGAUAAAACAAAUUAGAAUAAUCAUUUCCCCCCCACUUCUAAAACCAAAGUUGCGCCCCUGAGAGAACUACCUGUGUAAAUACACCAUUUAGAUCCAGGCAGUUCACUUUGGUGAUUCUCACAAGCAGGUAACCCUCCACACCUGUGUUGGGUAUACCACAAAUUAUACAGUUAAACUUUGCUCACUGAGCUCUUCUAUGCAGAUGAUCCCAUCUGGGCUCAUCUCUCAAAAACACUGGCCUACUUCCUUGAGCUCUGCCCAUGGGCUACUUUUGGAAUCUGACUUUGUCUUAAAUGAAUUACAUGUUUAACAAUGGAUGUUGUUCAAAAUGUUUGCAAAAAAAUAUUGUUUUCAGAAGUUAUUUUUUAACAUAGAUGUCAUUUCCACCACACCC
rnacentral:lncRNA from 1 species